rnacentral:rRNA from 1 species
UACGUAGGUGGCAAGCGUUGUCCGGAAUUAUUGGGCGUAAAGGAUGCGUAGGCGGAUAUGUAAGUCAGAUGUGAAAUACCCGGGCUCAACUUGGGUACUGCAUUUGAAACUGCAUGUCUAGAGUGCGGGAGAGGAAAGUGGAAUUCCUAGUGUAGCGGUGAAAUGCGUAGAGAUUAGGAAGAACACCAGUGGCGAAGGCGACUUUCUGGACCGUAACUGACGCUGAGGCAUGAAAGCGUGGGUAGCAAACAGG